rnacentral:rRNA from 1 species
AGUCGAGCGGUAACACAGGGAGCUUGCUCCCGGGUGACGAGCGGCGGACGGGUGAGUAAUGUCUGGGAAACUGCCUGAUGGAGGGGGAUAACUACUGGAAACGGUAGCUAAUACCGCAUAACGUCGCAAGACCAAAGAGGGGGACCUUCGGGCCUCUUGCCAUCAGAUGUGCCCAGAUGGGAUUAGCUAGUAGGUGGGGUAACGGCUCACCUAGGCGACGAUCCCUAGCUGGUCUGAGAGGAUGACCAGCCACACUGGAACUGAGACACGGUCCAGACUCCUACGGGAGGCAGCAGUGGGGAAUAUUGCACAAUGGGCGCAAGCCUGAUGCAGCCAUGCCGCGUGUAUGAAGAAGGCCUUCGGGUUGUAAAGUACUUUCAGCGGGGAGGAAGGUGUUGAGGUUAAUAACCUCAGCAAUUGACGUUACCCGCAGAAGAAGCACCGGCUAACUCCGUGCCAGCAGCCGCGGUAAUACGGAGGGUGCAAGCGUUAAUCGGAAUUACUGGGCGUAAAGCGCACGCAGGCGGUCUGUCAAGUCGGAUGUGAAAUCCCCGGGCUCAACCUGGGAACUGCAUUCGAAACUGGCAGGCUAGAGUCUUGUAGAGGGGGGUAGAAUUCCAGGUGUAGCGGUGAAAUGCGUAGAGAUCUGGAGGAAUACCGGUGGCGAAGGCGGCCCCCUGGACAAAGACUGACGCUCAGGUGCGAAAGCGUGGGGAGCAAACAGGA